rnacentral:rRNA from 1 species
GAUGAACGCUGGCGGCGUGCCUAAUACAUGCAAGUCAAGCGAACAGACGAGGAGCUUGCUCCUCUGACGUUAGCGGCGGACGGGUGAGUAACACGUGGAUAACCUACCUAUAAGACUGGGAUAACUUCGGGAAACCGGAGCUAAUACCGGAUAACAUGUUGAACCGCAUGGUUCAACAGUGAAAGACGGUCUUGCUGUCGCUUAUAGAUGGAUCCGCGCCGCAUUAGCUAGUUGGUAAGGUAACGGCUUACCAAGGCAACGAUGCGUAGCCGACCUGAGAGGGCGAUCGGCCACACUGGAACUGAGACACGGUCCAGACUCCUACGGGAGGCAGCAGUAGGGAAUCUUCCGCAAUGGGCGAAAGCCUGACGGAGCAACGCCGCGUGAGUGAAGAAGGUCUUCGGAUCGUAAAACUCUGUUAUUAGGGAAGAACAAAUGUGUAAGUAACUAUGCACGUCUUGACGGUACCUAAUCAGAAAGCCACGGCUAACUACGUG